rnacentral:tRNA from 7 species
GCGGAUGUAGCCAAGUGGAUCAAGGCAGUGGGUUGUGAAUCCACCAUGCGCGGGUUCAAUUCCCGUCGUUCGCC